rnacentral:rRNA from 1 species
UACAGAGGGGGCAAGCGUUGUUCGGAAUUACUGGACGUAAAGGGCGCGUAGGCGGCCUUCUAAGUCGAACGUGAAAUCCCCGGGCUCAACCCGGGAACUGCGUCCGAUACUGGAAGGCUUGAAUCCGGGAGAGGGAUGUGGAAUUCCAGGUGUAGCGGUGAAAUGCGUAGAUAUCUGGAGGAACACCGGUGGCGAAGGCGACAUCCUGGACCGGUAUUGACGCUGAGGCGCGAAAGCCAGGGGAGCAAACGGG